GAUGAACGCUGGCGGCGUGCCUAAUACAUGCAAGUCGAGCGAACAGACGAGGAGCUUGCUUCUCUGACGUUAGCGGCGGACGGGUGAGUAACACGUGGAUAACCUACCUAUAAGACUGGGAUAACUUCGGGAAACCGGAGCUAAUACCGGAGAAUAUAUUGAACCGCAUGGUUCAAUAGUUAAAGACGGUUUUGCUGUCACUUAUAGAUGGAUCCGCGCCGCAUUAGCUAGUUGGUAAGGUAACGGCUUACCAAGGCAACGAUGCGUAGCCGACCUGAGAGGGUGAUCGGCCACACUGGAACUGAGACACGGUCCAGACUCCUACGGGAGGCAGCAGUAGGGAAUCUUCCGCAAUGGGCGAAAGCCUGACGGAGCAACGCCGCGUGAGUGAUGAAGGUCUUCGGAUCGUAAAACUCUGUUAUUAGGGAAGAACAAAUGUGUAAGUAACUAUGCACGUCUUGACGGUACCUAAUCAGAAAGCCACGGCUAACUACGUG
rnacentral:rRNA from 1 species